rnacentral:rRNA from 1 species
GAUGAACGCUGGCGGCGUGCCUAAUACAUGCAAGUCGAGCGAACAGAUGAGGAGCUUGCUCCUCUGACGUUAGCGGCGGACGGGUGAGUAACACGUGGAUAACCUACCUAUAAGACUGGGAUAACUUCGGGAAACCGGAGCUAAUACCGGAUAAUAUAUUGAACCGCAUGGUUCAAUAGUGAAAGACGGUUUUGCUGUCACUUAUAGAUGGAUCCGCGCCGCAUUAGCUAGUUGGUAAGGUAACGGCUUACCAAGGCAACGAUGCGUAGCCGACCUGAGAGGGUGAUCGGCCACACUGGAACGGAGACACGGUCCAGCCUCCUACGGGAGGCAGCAGUAGGGAAUCUUCCGCAAUGGGCGAAAGCCUGACGGAGCAACGCCGCGUGAGUGAUGAAGGUCUUCGGAUCGUAAAACUCUGUUAUUAGGGAAGAACAAAUGUGUAAGUAACUAUGCACGUCUUGACGGUACCUAAUCAGAAAGCCACGGCUAACUACGUG